rnacentral:tRNA from 1 species
GAAAAAGUUUGUAAGAACUGCUAACUCUUAACCCCGCAUUUGAUACAUGUGGCUUUUUCA